rnacentral:rRNA from 1 species
UAAGACGUAGGAUCCGAGCGUUGUCCGGAGUUACUGGGCGUAAAGGGCGCGCAGGCGGAUACGCGCAUCGGCGGUGAAAGCCCCCCGCUCAACGGGGGAGGGUCCGUCGAGAUGGCGUGUCUGGAGGCAGGGAGAGGCCAGUGGAAUUCCGGGUGUAGUGGUGAAAUGCGUAGAGAUCCGGAGGAACACCAGUGGCGAAGGCGGCUGGCUGGACCUGACCUGACGCUGAGGCGCGAAGGCGUGGGGAGCGAACGGG